GGGUGUAAAGGCCUUCUUUAUAUGGUGCUUCAUGCUCGAGUUGUAUUAGAUUUGUGUGAAAAUUCAGAGCAAGAGAUAGGUUUUGAACAAGUUGAAGGGGAUUUUGAUUCGUUCUAAGGAAAAUGGAUUUUUGAACAACUAGGAAAUCGUCACACACUGCUGAAACUGAAGUACUCUGUGGAGAUAAAAAUGCACAAAGAUACUUUCCUUUUGGAGGCUAUCAUGGAGGAGGUCAUUUUUGAAGAUCUGCCAUCCAAUUUGUCGGCAAUAAGAAUACAGAGGAAACAAAUUCAGGGCAACAAAUUGCUUCGUCUGGUUUUGAAAAGGCCGUGGAAACUCCUAAUAUCGAGAAGGCUAUCACUCGCAUGGAUGGAUUCAGAAAGAUUGCAACCAUCAUGAAUCUUUCCUUGGCUUACUGGGACAAUCUCAAAAAUCUGCAGGACGAGAUAAGUAGAUUUCAAAGGAUUGGGGCAUGGAUCCUUCAUUUAUGCCAAGCAGAAAGUCAUUUGAACGUGCAGGUUGGUUUGAGAUAUCCUGCUCUCGACUUUGAUUUCGCUGCUUACAAUAAA